AAUGAAUGAUGACAACGUGUUUCGGUCCCAUAUGAAACCAUGAUUAUUAUUUUUCCCAGUGCUGACAUU